UUGCCUCCCUUUUUUUUCCCCUUUUGCUCCCGUGCACCAUCAUAUUCAACAUGCAAGAUUUCAAUAGCGGGAAGGAUCAUACUUCAUGGGAUCCUUCAGAUAUCUACAAGAGUCGACAAUGAAUCAACGAGAGAGGAAGGUUUGUGAAGGUAGGGGCAGUCACGCUGCAAGACUCGAGAAGGGUGAACGUGAUAAUGUAAAUGGCUGUGUACCUGAUAAGGAAUUGAAGAGUAUUCUGCAUCAAAUGUCAUAAAUCGAAAUGGGUAUCUGUAAAUGUAAUCAUAUAUGUUCUUGAAGCCA